CCUACGGGUGGCAGCAGUGGGGAAUAUUGCGCAAUGGGGGCAACCCUGACGCAGCAACGCCGCGUGAUUGAAGAAGGCCUUCGGGUUGUAAAGAUCUUUAAUCAGGGACGAAAAUUGACGGUACCUUCAAAGGAAGCACCGGCUAACUCCGUGCCAGCAGCCGCGGUAAUACGGAGGGUGCGAGCGUUAAUCGGAAUUACUGGGCGUAAAGCGCACGUAGGCUGUAUGACAAGUCAAGGGUGAAAUGCCACGGCUCAACCGUGGAACUGCCUUUGAAACUGUCAAACUGGAGUAUGUGAGAGGGCGGCGGAAUUCCUGGUGUAGGAGUGAAAUCCGUAGAUAUCAGGAGGAACAUCAGUGGCGAAGGCGGCCGCCUGGCACAAAACUGACGCUGAGGUGCGAAAGCGUGGGUAGCAAACAGGAUUAGAUACCCCGGUAGUC
rnacentral:rRNA from 1 species